AGAGUUUGAUCCUGGCUCAGGAUGAACGCUGGCGGUAUGCGUAACACAUGCAAGUCGAACGAAGUUUUUCGGAACUUAGUGGCGGACGGGUGAGUAACGCGUGAGAAUCUGCCUUAAGGAUUGGGACAACAGUGGGAAACCGCUGCUAAUACCAAAUAUGCCUUUUAGUGAAACGGGUAAAACCGCCUUAAGAUGAGCUCGCGUCUGAUUAGCUAGUUGGUGUGGUAAGAGCGCACCAAGGCAACGAUCAGUAGCUGGUCUGAGAGGACGACCAGCCACACUGGGACUGAGACACGGCCCAGACUCCUACGGGAGGCAGCAGUGAGGAAUUUUCCGCAAUGGGCGAAAGCCUGACGGAGCAAUACCGCGUGAGGGAGGAAGGUUCUUGGAUUGUAAACCUCUUUUCUCAGAGAAGAAUAAUGACGGUAUCUGAAGAAUAAGCAUCGGCUAACUCCGUGCCAGCAGCCGCGGUAAUACGGAGGGUGCAAGCGUUGUCCGGAUUUAUUGGGUUUAAAGGGUGCGUAGGUGGCUUGUUAAGUCCGGGGUGAAAGGCAGUGGCUCAACCACUUGCAGGGCCCUGGAUACUGGCAGGCUCGAGUGUAGGUGAGGCCGGUGGAACGGGUGGUGUAGCGGUGAAAUGCAUAGAUACCAUCCAGAACACCGAUUGCGAAGGCAGCCGGCUAAACUGUCACUGACGCUGAGGCACGAAAGCGUGGGGAUCGAACAGGAUUAGAUACCCCCGUAGUCC
rnacentral:rRNA from 1 species